rnacentral:rRNA from 1 species
ACGGGAGGCAGCAGUGGGGGAUAUUGCACAAUGGGGGAAACCCUGAUGCAGCGACGCCGCGUGAGUGAUGAAGUAUUUCGGUAUGUAAAGCUCUAUCAGCAGGGAAGAAAAUGACGGUACCUGACUAAGAAGCUCCGGCUAAAUACGUGCCAGCAGCCGCGGUAAUACGUCUGGAGCAAGCGUUAUCCGGAUUUACUGGGUGUAAAGGGAGCGUAGACGGUGACGCAAGUCUGAAGUGAAAGGUGUGGGCUCAACCCGCAAACUGCUUUGGAAACUGUGUGACUAGAGUGUCGGAGAGGUAAGUGGAAUUCCUAGUGUAGCGGUGAAAUGCGUAGAUAUUAGGAGGAACACCAGUGGCGAAGGCGGCUUACUGGACGAUAACUGACGUUGAGGCUCGAAAGCGUGGGGAGCAAACAGGAUUAGAUACCCUGGUA